GACGAACGCUGGCGGCGUGCUUAACACAUGCAAGUCGAACGGAAAGGCGCUGCGUUUGUGGGGUGCUCGAGUGGCGAACGGGUGAGUAACACGUGAGUAACCUGCCCUUGACUUUGGGAUAACUUCAGGAAACAGGGGCUAAUACCGGAUAGGAGCUCCUGAUGCAUGGUGUUGGUUGGAAAGUGUCGGCGGUUGGGGCUGGACUCGCGGCUUAUCAGCUUGUUGGGCAGGUAGUGGAUUACCACGGCUAUGACGGGUAGCCGGCCUUAGAGGGUGGCCGGCGACCUGGGGCCUGCGAUACGGCCCAGACUCCUACGGGAGGCAGUAGUGGGGAACAUGGCAGAAUGGGGGGACGCCUGAGGCAGCGACGUCGCGUGCGGGAUGCUGUCUUUUUGGUUGUGAACCGCUUUCGACGGUGACGAAGAGUGCGUGACGGUAACGGGUAAAGAAGCACCGGCUAACUACGUG
rnacentral:rRNA from 1 species